CUGUUCAUUAACUAAGGCCCUGUUCGGAUCCCCUCCGCUCCCCUACUGCAGCUCCCGGAGCGGAGGGAGUGCCAGCACAAUCGCGCGGAGCAGUUCGAACCCGGCUCCUCGCGCGGAGCGGAGUUGAGAAUCUGGAGAGCUUCCGAACAGGCAGUAACUUUUGCACAAAUUUAGUUAUGAGUCAUUGCUUUUUGCACAAAUUUGGUCAUGGGGUAAUCAUUCCAGAAUCUCAACAUUCUAGCAUUUUGCGCAAAUUUGUGAAGUUCGACUUCUUAGUGUCAUGGCUCACGACUAAAUGUUCCAGGAUUAUUAUAUAGCAGAACUCAGAUGUGAAAAUCAAACUACUUUUGCUUGAUCCUAUUGAGUAUGAACAUGAAACAAUGCUUGCCUGUGCUGUCAGCUACCGUUCCUAAUUCACCACACAUUGUGCUAUCUUUCAUUCAAAUAAAUGUAUAACCUUGCUUUUCAUUUGAUUCGUACAACAACUGCAUCUUGCUUCCAGAAUUUCUUCAUGGUCCUGUAUAAUCUAUCUCUCAUAAUUAUAUACACAUUAUGCCUGAACCUGUGUUGUUUGUGUGAAAGGAAACAUCUCUAGUAUUUUCAAAUGUUUAUACAUAGCUUGAACUAUAUUGGAAGGUAUCAAUGUUUGUGAAUUAAUACUCAAGCCACAAUAAUAUUGGUAUAGAUAUAUAUGUGAAGCUUGAAAAUACGCCAGUAGGAAUACAUGUCAGCUGCCAUAUGUAGUUGUAAGCUACUUGCUUCAUGGUUUGCUUUUUUGCUUGCAAAAUGAUUAUUAUGCAAGCAUGUAUUUGCUGUCUGAGCCUAUAUCCUUUGUUUGUGUGCUACAGUACAUAUCAUUUACCAAAGUUAUUAGCUCAUGGCAUUUGAACCAUCUUAUCUAUUUAGGUUGGCAUCAUCACUGGAAGAUGUUUCUACAUGAUGUUUCUUCUCUUCGUAUUAACAUCUUAAAAGCAUUACAAAUUCGUAACUCUUCUGCUGGAGACAUGUGGCCAUCUUCGAAUAAUGCAGUUUCGUGUGAGUUUGGUAUUCAGAUGAAUAUGUUAAUUCCAUCAAAGAAACAGCUUGAGCAGAACUGUACAAAAGAGUAAUCACGCAACUUGUAUUCGUGGACAUGGCUACAGCUAUGCACUAAAGUUAAACCAUUUGUGUAGCUCAGUCUAAGGACACAAAAUCUUAUCGUCUUAUGUAAAUUUUGUUAACCGUUGUAGCUAGAUGCUACUAAACACGUGUAUGGAAAUAAGCUUAUUCGUACUGAACUUUUAGUUUGUGAAUGUUUCUGAAAGUUUAAGGUUUUGGGUGAGGUAUAUAUGGAACUUUGAUUGAAGUGUAUAAUUUGAGUGUUCUGUCUUGGUUUCCUGACAUAGUGAAUGG
rnacentral:lncRNA from 1 species